AUUGAACGCUGGCGGCAGGCCUAACACAUGCAAGUCGAGCGGAUGAAGGGAGCUUGCUCCUGGAUUCAGCGGCGGACGGGUGAGUAAUGCCUAGGAAUCUGCCUGGUAGUGGGGGAUAACGUCCGGAAACGGGCGCUAAUACCGCAUACGUCCUGAGGGAGAAAGUGGGGGAUCUUCGGACCUCACGCUAUCAGAUGAGCCUAGGUCGGAUUAGCUAGUUGGUGGGGUAAAGGCCUACCAAGGCGACGAUCCGUAACUGGUCUGAGAGGAUGAUCAGUCACACUGGAACUGAGACACGGUCCAGACUCCUACGGGAGGCAGCAGUGGGGAAUAUUGGACAAUGGGCGAAAGCCUGAUCCAGCCAUGCCGCGUGUGUGAAGAAGGUCUUCGGAUUGUAAAGCACUUUAAGUUGUGAGGAAGGGCAGUAAGUUAAUACCUUGCUGUUGUGACGUUACCAACAGAAUAAGCACCGGCUAACUUCGUG
rnacentral:rRNA from 1 species